rnacentral:lncRNA from 1 species
CUUCUGUAUGUUUCUCUUAUGAAACCAUUUUAACUUUACAAUGGGGACAUGAUUCCCCUGAGGACAGAAUGAAGCAAAACCAUAUGGAGAAUUGUAUAAUUCCUUUCCCCUCAUAGUUACUUCACAGCAAAAUAGACUCAUUUUAAUCCUUUUAAUUUUCUCUCCCAACUCUUUGGUUUCUGGAUUAUUCCCUGUGCUGUUAAUAGAGCUGUUUAUUUUCCAUCUUUAGUAUUGCUGCCAUCUUCCCUGAUGAGUGCCUCUCAUAACUGAGUGUAGCUCUGAAGUUUACUGGAUAAUUAGAUUUACAGUUUAGUGAGAAAUUAAAACUAGGCUUUGCUUAUAACCCAGUGUAUAAGUUGGACCACAAGAAAGUUCAACUUUUUUCAGAAAAUUAAACCUUCCUUCAGAAAAUAAAGCAUUCCAAGAGAACUAAUUUUAAUGUAACUACAUUGAAAAGAGUAGUUGCAGCAAGUAAGUUAGAAAUACAAAUUUUAUGUGAAGAAAUCACUCAGUUGGUACUGUCUUUAUGAACUCCUAGAAAGGUCUCUCAGUGUGUUGGUAUUUGCUGUAUGUCCACAUGAGCUGGAAGUGCCAUCAGGAUGAGAAUCAUGAUCUGUACUGUGGUGGGAGAUGAAGGGAAUGCAACCCUUCUCUUCUAUGGCAUUGUUAUUUUAUGCUGGUUUCAAGCAGCUGUAGGGUGAUAAUCUGAGACAGCCGGAAUCCUGGGUGAUUCCCACUGAAGGCAGUUUCAGCAUUUCCGACUGUGUGAUGAUCACACAUCCACUGCAGGAAGUGUCUGUGGUGUCUCCAGCAGGGAAGAUAGACCAGGAAUCUGAAGUUCUCAGAGGAAGUGGAUGGAGUCCCUGGUCUCAGGACUGACACAGACUAUGGGAGCUGCUGCAGCAGGGCACAGAAACAGGGAGUGCACUGCCUGAAC